rnacentral:rRNA from 1 species
ACGUGCAAGUCGAAACGCGAAAGGGGACUUCGGUCCUGAGUAAAGUGGCGCACGGGUGAGUAACGCGUAGAUAACCUGUCUUCAUGUCUGGAAUAAUACGCCGAAAGGGGUACUAAUACCGGAUAUUCUUGCUUUUCAUAAGUUAUGCAAGCAAAGGUGGCCUCUGCAUAUGCUACUGCAUGAAGAGGGGUCUGCGUACCAUUAGCUAGUAGGUGGGGUAAUGGCCUACCUAGGCGACGAUGGUUAGCGGGUCUGAGAGGAUGAUCCGCCACACUGGCACUGGAACACGGGCCAGACUCCUACGGGAGGCAGCAGUGAGGAAUAUUGCGCAAUGGGGGAAACCCUGACGCAGCGACGCCGCGUGAGUGAAGGAAGGCCUUCGGGUCGUAAAGCUCUGUCAAGAGGAAAGAAGUGUACAAUGGCUAAUACCUGUUGUAUUUGACGGUACCUCUAAAGGAAGCACCGGCUAACUCCGUGCCAGCAGCCGC